UUAGCCUUAAACCAGAAAAAAGACCCCUAGCCGUUUUCUCUCUACCCCUUUCAAGCUCCCCUUUUUGCAACCCUAACAAAAAAAAAAACGGUGACCGCCGUGGCCACCAUCACUUAUGGCACCGAUGAGGAAACCCAUGGGUACGAACUCACCUCUGCCUCUAGACCCGACUGAAAUCUGAUUCUAAAAUAACAAUCUAACCUUAAAACUAGACCACCUUUUGAAACCAUACUAACCGAACCCCUCAUCCACACAUCAUGAAUUAACCAUGACCCAAAAGCACGAAAAUCUUACCCUCAAAUGAUUCAAUGGUGUUUGGGCUUCAAGCGACGUUGAUGGUUCUUCUCCUCGGCUCAAGUAGUAUGGGCGGAACUCGAUCUACUCAAGGGUGACCGACAGGCGUGAGUGGCUGGUGCACUAUUUCGGGGCUCUGGACGUGUUGUGAGCCGUUGGAUCAUGAGGCCAGAUCCAACGACCAGAAUAGGGCUGCGUAUGGAAUAUUUAGGGUUUAAAAAACCCUAAAAUUACUAUCACUCUUCUUGAACCAUCAGAUGAGGGGCACUCAAUCCUGUGGUCUACAACGUGCGGCGUUGGGAACCUCUCUAUAGAAAACCCUAACGGGUUUAGGGUUCUUUUGCAAUUGGGCCUGUCUGGUCCAGCUUAUUUUAAGUUGAUGUAGGCCUAUACCAUUAAUAAUAAUAUUAGUGCAUUUUAAUUGUUUAUUUAA